rnacentral:rRNA from 1 species
AUGCAACAUCACAGUUCUUCAAAUGAACUAGGUGAGAAGUACAAGUGUGCCGAAAGGUUGGGCAUCAAGAUUGUUAAUCACCGUUGGUUGGAGGAUUGCUUAAAGUCAUGGAAAAUCCUACCAGAAGAUGAUUAUAGCGAGAGUGGCUGGGAAGUAGGGAUAGUGGAGGCGCAAGCCAAGGAACGCCUCAAGUUCCCGAUUCCGGAUCGCCUCAAGUUUGCAAAUGGGAAGUAUGCCGUGAAUAAAGCGAAGAAGAUAAGCAGCAAGGUGCUCGCCGCAGCCCUGGCGCUCCUAAACCGCGCCCAUCCGGAGGUGGGCACCGACUUCUUGGCGUGCCAUGAUCUUCCUCCCGACACCCAGGACCAGACCGCCAAGUACGCCAAGGUCGCGAAAGCCUUUGUUGACUCGUGCUUUAGCAAGCUCGAAGCAGACGAAGCCUGA